CCUUCAUGCAGUUUUACACUAUUCACGUUUAACGUUUAACCGUUCAUCUUAUUUGAAAUUUUUGUAUGAUUAGUAUUUUUAUUGUUAUUAGAUGAUAAAAUAUGAAUAGUACUUUAUGUGUGAAUUAAUAUUUUCAAAUUUUUCAAAUAAGACAAACGGUUAAACGUUGGGCACGGAUAUCCAUAAUUAUACUUAUU
rfam:Oryza nivara chromosome 1, whole genome shotgun sequence.